GUGGGGAAUUUUGGACAAUGGGGGCAACCCUGAUCCAGCCAUUCCGCGUGAGUGAAGAAGGCCUUCGGGUUGUAAAGCUCUUUCGGCAGGAACGAAACGGUGAGCUCUAACAUAGCUCGCUAAUGACGGUACCUGAAGAAGAAGCACCGGCUAACUACGUGCCAGCAGCCGCGGUAAUACGUAGGGUGUGAGCGUUAAUCGGCAUUAUUGGGCGUUAAGCUUGCGCAUGCUGUUGUGUAAGACAGGUGUGAAAUCCACGGGCUUAAACUGGGAACUGCGAUUGUGACUGAAAGGCUAGAGUAUGGCAGAGGGGAGUGGAAUUCCACGUGUAGCAGUGAAAUGCGUAGAGAAGUGGAGGUACACCGAUGGCUAAGGCAGCCCCCUGAGCAAAUACUAACGCUCAUGCACGAAAGCGUGGGGAGCAAACAGGAUUAGAAACCCCGGUAGUCC
rnacentral:rRNA from 1 species